rnacentral:rRNA from 1 species
UACGUAGGGUGCAAGCGUUAUCCGGAAUUAUUGGGCGUAAAGGGCGCGUAGGCGGUUUCUUAAGUUUGGAGUGACAGUGGGUGGCUUAACUACCCAAGGCCUCUGAAAACUGGGGAACUUGAGGACCAGAGAGGGACAUAGAAUUCCGGGUGGAGUGGUGAAAUGCGUAGAUAUCCGGAGGAAUACCAAAGGCGAAGGCAGUGUCCUGGAGGGUGACUGACGCUGAGGCGCGAAAGCUAGGGAGCGAACAGG